CGGUAAUUCCAGCUCCAAUAGCGUAUACUAAAGUUGUUGCAGUUAAAAAGCUCGUAGUUGGAUUUCUGCGGGGACGGAGCGGCCGGUCGCAACUUGCGACUCGAGCUAGCGCUUUCCCCGCAUCCUGCCGCGAACCGUGCUACCAUUAGUUUGGUGGCGCUGGGGAUCGGCUCGAUUACUUUGAGAAAAAUAGAGCGUUCAAAGCAGGCCACACGCCUUGAAUAAGUUACCAUGGAAUAAUGACUAAGGACUUUGGUUCUUUUCGUUGGUGUUCGGGACUGAAGUAAUGAUUGAUAGGGACAGUUGGGGCGGUCCGUAUUCCAAAGCGAGAGGUGAAAUUCUUACACCUUCGGAAGACGAACAGCUGCCAAAGCGCUCCGCAAGGAUGUUCCCUUUGAUCAAGAUCGAACGUUGUGGGAUCGAAGACGAUCAGAUACCGUCGUAGUCUCAACUAUAAACUAUACCAGCUAGGGAUCGGCCAGCGUUUAAUUAUUCGACUUGGUCGGCACCUUAUGAGAAAUCAAAGCAUUUGGGUUCCGGGGGGAGUAGGGUCGCAAGGCUGAAACUUAAAUGAAUUGACGGAAGGGCACCACCAAACGUGGAGCCUGUGGCUUAAUUUGGCUCAACACGGGAAAUCUUACCAGGUCCGGACAUAGUAAGGAUUGACAGAUUGAUAGCUCUAUCUUGAUUAUGUGGGUGGUGGUGCAUGGCCGUUUUUAGUCGGUGGAUGUGAUCUGUGUGCUUAAUUGCGUUAACGGACGAGACCCCAGCAUGGUAAAUAGCGCGGCCUAGCUUUUCUCGGUGCGAGCUUCUUAGAGGGACCAUAAAGCGCGAUAGCUCAAGGAAGUUUGGGGCAAUAACAGGUCUGUGAGGUCCUUAGAUGUUUUGGGCCGCACACGGGCUACACUGGAGCCUGCAACGAGCAUAUCAGCUGGCCCGAGAGGGUCUUGGAUAAUCUUUUGAAAAGGAACCGUACUUGGGAUUGAACAUUGCAAUUGUUGGUCAUGCAACGAGGA
rnacentral:rRNA from 1 species